UGGCGGCUGGAGAUGGUAAUGUUUUCUCUUAGUUCAUUUCUCUUGGUUCAUGUCAAAUUAAUUUUGAUAAAUAAGUCGCACCUGACUAUAAGUGUCAGGACCAGCCAAACUAUGAAAAAUUUAUAGUCCGGAAAAUACGGUAGUCUAGUUGCUCAAAAGAGUAUUGCAGGUCAUAACUGCUUGCUUAUUUUUAGGUUUUGCAUUUGAAUAAAUAUUUAGUUUCGAAUUAUACAUUUUAAAAAGAUACUAGUAUAAGCACACAAGUGAAUAUUAAUGCAAUAAAAAUACUGAAUUUAACCCAAGAAAAGUACAGUAGGCCUAUUCAUGUGAAUUGAUAGUGAAUCAAGAGAUCGAAAUUGAUUAAUGGUCAUCAGCAUCGUAAUCGUAUCAAAUUCUUUCUAUUUUUUCCCUCUUGUAGAAACACUAUUGUGACAAAACAUAUAUUUAAUGUAGUCUCUCAUUCACCACUAUAGAAGUUUACCCAACUAUGACAACUUCCGCUUGAAAAUAUGAAAGGGUUGUGUAACUAUAUUCAAGAUAAAUUAGUUAAAUGAAAUAAAAUGCCUACAUGUGCACUGUUCAAAGUUUAUCACCAUUAAUAAUAACCUUAAUAAGUAGCAUGAUUAUCAUAUAGUGCUUUCUUAAAUAUAUUCGCAGUAACGACAACAAAUAUAAUAUUACAAUUUACAUCUUACAUUAUUUUCAGAUAUGGACAAGGGAAAGAAGAGAAGAGCCAUCACUGACUUUUUUGAAGGCAUACAGCCUAAGAGGAGCCUCAUGAGUAAAACGCUUAACCAGGACACUCAAACAGCACAGCACUUACAUUUAUCACCCAGGCUACAAGAAAAACUAACAGACCUGCCCCAAUCCAGGACAAACCCCAAUACAGACAGACCAGCCCCAAUCAGAGCAGACCAGACAGACCAGCUCCAAUCCAGGACAACAUUAGUCAGCACAUCCACAACAAACUGUUCACAUCCAGCCCAGUCCAUGAGCACAGCUUUGUCCCUGCUUACUAGUACAGACAGGGUAAUACACUUCAGCAAGCAACAGCUUGAGGCAUGGACACAGCAGUACUCCCCUUGGCUAUACUUACAUGGAAAUAACGUAGGAUGCACAUUCUGCAAAUAUGCCAAGCGCCUUUUUGGAGUCCAAAAGGGAGUACAGGUGGCAGAGGAGUGAGCUUCUGGAGAGGUCACAGCAAAAGAUGUCAGGGCCAUGAGAAAGAAAAUCUACAAACACAGAGACAGCUUAACUCACAAGGCAUCAACAGAUAUUCAACAGCAGAAAGAGAAAGAGGUGUUGCCCACCUUGACAGAAACUUUGAAUGCUAAAGUUCUGUUGGAGACAGUGCACUCAUUUAGAAAAGCACAUUUUGUUGCAAAGGAGAAGUUAGCCUUCUCAAAAAUGAAUGGAUUGGUUGAGUUACAAGAAAUGAAUGGAGUAAAAACCGUCUCUUGUCACAAAUCUGAUCACUCUUGCAUUAAUAUAAUAACACACAUUGCCAAUAAAAUGAGGGAAAAAAUGGUCUCAACAAUUAAAAUUGCUGGUUCUUGGAUCUGUCUUACAGUAGAUGAAAGCACUGCAUUUGGGAGAAGCUACCUCAUCCUAUACCUCAGAGGAGAUGUGACAGGAGAAGGUGAGACAGAAAACAUGUUUUUGGGAUUUGAUUGAGCUGGAGGAAGGAACAACUGCUGAUGCCAUAUACAAAGCUCUCAAAAAGAGUCUCCUGGAAGCUGACCUGGAUGAUGCAUACCUCAAGUCUCAUCUGAUUUGCAUAACAACAGAUGGGGCAUCUGUGAUGACUGGAAGACAGAGUGGUCUUAUCACAAGGCUGAAGAAAGACUAUCCUUUGCUGGAGAGUAUCCACUGUCUUGCUCACAGGCUUGAGUUAUCAAACAGAAGCACUUCUCUUAUGGAGGCCACACGAGAAAUAAAGAUGACAAUUGAGGUGUUGAAGGCUUUCAAGAUCACCCCAGGGAAGUCAAUGGAGAAAGCAGCGGAAACUGUUAAAGUAGGAGAAUUCAAACAAGUGCCCUUACGUUCAAGCAAGGAAAAUGUAAAUCGAUUCCUAUUCCUCCAAGCCAUCAUCGACAGUCUCUCUUCACGAAUGCCUGACACAAAUCUUACAAAGAUUAUAACACCACUGGAUCCCCUAAACUGGCCAAAAUCCAGGGAGUCUCUUAUUCUCUUUUGGGAGGAAGAGAUCCACGACCUGGCAAAGAUGCUUGAAGUACCAAGUAGGGAGGCAGUUGAGGACUUCAGAAAUUGGAAGCUCAACAAUGAUCAGAAUAGGAAGGUCCUCAAAAAGUUGUUGACUGCUAGCAAAACAUACCUGGCAAGUUCUUCUGAAUGUGAAAGAGGCUUCUCUGUCCUCAAUGCCACUGCCACAGAUGCAAGGAAUCGCCUUCAAGUCAGGAGCCUCUCUGCAGUACUUUUCAUUGACAUUAAUGGCCCCCCUCUCAAGAUGUUUGACGCUUACCCGUAUAUUCAGUCUUGGCUUAGGGAGAAACAUUGUCUGUCAACUGCCAGUAAAACAGGGAGACGAGACAAAUCUGAGCUUUGACACAAUUCGAACACUGUAUAAGUCCUGAUAUUAACGUUAUGCUCUAUUAAUAAAAUAAGGGAUAAAUGAUUAGUUAAAUCCCAUUUAUUAUAAACCUGCUAUCAGAUGCUUCAUUAGUGGCCGGGUUUCUCGACAACGAUUGAUCUUAGAGUUUAAGAGCGUUUUCUGAGAGUCAUUUUACGAUCGUUCAUUAUUGAUUCACGUGUGUUUCUCAGAAAUGCACUUAACACAAUCUCAGUAUCUGUGCUUUAAGAGCUGCUUAGAGUCGCUGUCCGUUUGUCAAGUGCUGAAAUCUCAUCUUAUAGAGUGACUCGUGAUUGUAGCACACGCUCGUUUACUGAAAUGUUCAUCUAAUGCUGUGUUCAGACUCUGUCAGCAGAUUGUCAUUUGACUGACAGCUUCUGAUCAAUGUGGAAGCAGCCAAAUAUCUCCAAAUGAAAGAAAACUUGGGUUUAUCUUUGCAACAAUACCCUUCACAAGGCGUUCAGAUGAAGAAAAAAAGAUGCUAGGACACAGAUUCAGUUCACAUUAAGAGGAGCAUCCAGCAGUUCCAGCUGAUAAAAAAAGAAGAUUAAAAAAAGUGGUAAAUGUAACUUUUUUUUAUCUCUGUAGACACGCUUUGAUAGAUGUGUGUGGGAUUAAUGGGAGGAUUAUAUCUUAAAGUUACUGA